rnacentral:rRNA from 1 species
CAGUCGCCGCGGUAAUACGUAGGGAGCAAGCGUUGUUCGGAUUUACUGGGCGUAAAGGGCUCGCAGGCGGUUUCUUAAGUCUGAUGUGAAAGCCCCCGGCUCAACCGGGGAGGGUCAUUGGAAACUGGGAAACUUGAGUGCAGAAGAGGAGAGUGGAAUUCCACGUGUAGCGGUGAAAUGCGUAGAGAUGUGGAGGAACACCAGUGGCGAAGGCGACUCUCUGGUCUGUAACUGACGCUGAGGAGCGAAAGCGUGGGGAGCGAACAGGAUUAGAUACCCCCGUAGUCCCUGUCUCUUAUAC